rnacentral:rRNA from 1 species
GCAUUUGCCGAGAAGCUGUUAAGGUGGAACAAGGCCCUUUCAGUGCAAAAGGAUGAAACAGGGAGUAUGCCUCUUCACUUCGCCGCAGCCAAGUCGCGGAGGGAUGGCUGACCAAAAGUCUGCCUCAAGCUGCUCGAAGCAAACCCAGCCGCGUUGUAUGAGCCAGACCAUCGUGGGUCAUAUCCAAUACACAUAGCUACCUCAGUGGGCGCGACCAGGAAGGUUCUCCUGUUUCUUAACAGGCACCCUGGCAGUGCCGGCCUGCGCGAUGCACGUGGCCGGACUUUCCUACAUGUCGCCGUCGAGAACAUGGCUAUGGGGAUCCUGUAUCAUGCUACCAGUGAUAAGUCGCUAGAAUGGAUUCUCAACAUGCGCGACAAGGAGGGGAACACGGCGAUGCACCUUGCAGUCCAAGGUGGGAGACUUCGAGUGUUCUGCCGUCUGCUUGGGAAUCUGAAGGUAGGCCUGGAUUUGCCAAAUGCGAAAGGGGAAACCUGUCUGGAUUUAUCACGCUAUAAGGUUCCUCCAGGAUUGUAUUACAGUCAGAACUCGGAAGCAUGUAUCCGUCGUGCACUCGCGAUGGUCGGUGCUCGGAGCGGCACUUCUCGCGAGGAUCACUUCGAGGAAAAAUACGAAAGAAAUCACCGGCUAAAACCGGAAGAGAAAAACAUAGAAUCAGAUAGCAUGAAGGAUGCAACACAGACUUUGAGCAUCGGGUCUGUGCUGAUAGCGACAGUGACGUUUGGAGCCACAUUCGCACUGCCUGGUGGUUACAAGGCGGACGAUCGUCCCAACGGUGGCUCACCGACGCUCGCAGGCACGUACGCCUUCGACGCGUUCAUGAUGGCCAACACGCUGGCCUUCAUCUGCUCCUCGAUGGCCACGGUCGGCUUCAUGUUCUCCGGGACUCCCAUGGUUAACAGGAGGAGCAGAAAGUUCCACCUUCGCUCCUCCGUGCAUUUCAUGGAGGCUUCGGUCACGAGCCUGACGGCCGCGUUCGCUCUCGGGGUGUACUUGGUGCUGGCUCCAGUCGCUUACAAGACCGCCAUUGCCAUUUGUGUCGUUAGCCCUUUUGCUUUGCUUUGGAAAAAUGUUGAUUAUUGGAAGAGAUGGAUUCGUUUUGCUGGACCCUUGCUGGCUAGGAACAGGCCAUGUUGGACCUUGCAAGAGUUUGCACGGCAAUUCGUGUGGAGCAUACUGCUUGAACUUUGGCCCCUCGUGAUAAUCUUCUGUUGGGCAGCAUUCGCAAAUACUGGUACACACUUUUAA